rnacentral:rRNA from 1 species
CUACGGGAGGCAGCAGUGGGGAAUAUCGGACAAUGGGCGCAAGCCUGAUCCAGCCAUGCCGCGUGUGUGAAGAAGGCCUUAGGGUUGUAAAGCACUUUCAUUGGGGAGAAAGGCUGUUUGGUUAAUACCCAAGCAGAUUGAUGUUACCCAAAGAAGAAGGACCGGCUAACUCCGUGCCAGCAGCCGCGGUAAUACGGAGGGUCCAAGCGUUAAUCGGAAUUACUGGGCGUAAAGCGCGCGUAGGCGGUUAAUUAAGCGAGAUGUGAAAUCCCUGGGCUCAACCUAGGAAUUGCGUUUCGAACUGAUUAGCUAGAGUGCAGUAGAGGGUGGUGGAAUUUCCGGUGUAGCGGUGAAAUGCGUAGAGAUCGGAAGGAACAUCAGUGGCGAAAGCGACUGCCUGGACUGACACUGACGCUGAGGUGCGAGAGCGUGGGGAGCAAACAGGAUUAGAAACCCCAGUAGUCC